rnacentral:misc_RNA from 1 species
GAUGAAGAGCGCAGCGAAAUGCGAUAAGUAAUGUGAAUUGCAGAAUUCAGUGAAUCAUCGAAUCUUUGAACGCACCUUGCACCCUUUGGCAUUCCGAAGGGUAUGCUCGUUUGAGUGUCAUUGUACUCUCACACUUCUGAUCCUUUGGAUUGGGAGCGGUGGACUUGGGUGUUGCUGCUUUACUGUGGCUCACCUCAAAUGCAUUCGUGCAACUCUUGGUUGGACAUAGUACGGCGUGAUAAGUAUCUUCGCCGGCACCUCGCAAGAGGGUGGCUGAUCAGGAGCUCUGUGCUUUCCAACUGUCUUCAGACAACAACUGACAACUUGACCUCAAAUCGAGUAGGACCACCCGCUGAACUUAAGCAUAUCAAUAAGCGGAGGA